rnacentral:lncRNA from 1 species
GGUCUGCUGCUGAUUGGCUGGAAUGUGUCUGCUGACUGUGAGGUACAGGGUCAGAGUUUACCGCAUAUGUUCGCCGUCCGCGGCGAACCGUUCGGGACAUCACUAGCACAGUAUGUCAGUGAGGAAGACAAAGCUUCUUUUUGUUUAUGGGUGGUUAUAUCCAGUAUGAUAUAAGCGGUCAUCACCACAAUGAUUUUUUUAUAUCAUUUUAUAUUAUGAGCAUUUCAUAAAAAAAGGAUACAUUCACUCUUCAGUAAAACGUGCUAUGAUUUGAAGAAAUAUUCCUUAUUUUCAUAAAUACAAUAGAUAUGAUCUAAGGGAAAAAAAUCUAAUUUUCUUCUGAUGGUGCAAAUAUAAACCUGAAGAUGGCUAAGGCAAUGAGCUAUAUAUAUCUAUAUCGGGACUAACCAGUUCUAACCCUUUAGCUGUAAUUUUGACUACAAUGUAGAAGACAGUUGAGGCUUGAUCAUAAUGAGGGGGAAAAUAAUUGUCUAGGACUAGGUCAAGUUCCCCAACAGCUCAAAUUCUGUUGUUGGGAUACCCUGUAUCUCUCUAAAAUAUAUUUAAUCAGAUUUAAACCCAGUCUAAAAGACUGUUUAGAUGCCGAGUGAGCAAAGCAAACCUAUCAGAUAAAACAAAACAACCGAAUAAAAAAAUCUGGUCAAAAUAAACCCUUCUGUAUGUUACAACUUACACUACAUACGUGACUGAUGGUAUGCCCACAUUAUCAUGAUCUAAUAGGAUUAAAACAUUUUUGACAUACAUGUUUUCCUUUAUAUUGUUUUGUGAUUUGAACAUUGAACUACCCAGUGUGCACCUGACUGGACGCCAUUUUCUAUUUUGAAACAGUAGAAAGUAUAGAGUAAUGCACAAAAAUGCUAUAUGCUUAUUGGUGUUUAGAACUGGUAGCUUGAAAUCUAUCAUUACAUUUUUUUAAUGUUUUAUUAUCAAGUUAAAAUUUAAUUUUCAAAUUGUGGCUUCCACCAUCCAUACAAGUGAAUGUUCCUUUUAUUAGGAAAUGUUUUUAAUUGGUUUCACCCCAAGUCUGUGCAGUAUUUAUUUCGUAGCUCUCUGUAUGGUACUUAGAUGUUAACCACAGGUCUCUCGAACAUAUAUAUUUUAGUACAGCAAAUGGCUUCUUUAGAAAAUACUUUUUAUAUUAAUUUAUUUAAAAAUUUUAAAUUGUGUUUUAUGUUCUGGCAAUGGCAAACUGGUAUCUGCUCAUUUCUUGACAUUUUAUUAAGAUUGGAUCUGUCUGUAAAAGGCAUUUGGAAUGUUGGAAUCUCCAAAAAUACGUUGCACAGUCCCGUAACAGUGAAAGGGAUUGCAUGACAUUAUAUCUGUGCAGAAAAAUGUGAAUUCAGUUACAAAUAAUUUUAGUAAACUAUAUAGUUUAUUUUAUGUUAUUUAUUUUUAUAUCAUGUAUGUAUGUAUUGGUUAUAAAGGCAUAGACAUGUUAUUUUGUUGUUGAAAGGAGGGAAAAGGCCAAUGUAAUAGGUCUGCUGACACACUCAGUGCUGAGAUAUUUAAAUCUAUAUAAAUAUAUAUAUAUGAAAGUAUGUAUAUAUGUAAUUUAUAUUAUUGUUAAGAACUAUACAAAAUGAAACAAACUAUGUUUAUGCAGUAGACGAGGUGGUAGCCAUAUUGGAUCUAAGUAUCACUGCUGAUAAUUUGCGUAUAGUGGCUUAAUUUGUCUUGCUGCGCUUUGUUCUAUAUUAGUUGAUCUUGCAAUAAUGCCCCUUAUUUUUCUAAAGCAAACAAAAUUAUCUGUUUUGCUACUUCCCUUUCUCCAGACCACUAAACAGAAAAUAAAAAAUAUUGUACUUCAGAAUUUGAUACAUUUUCAAUUGAAAUGAACAAUGCAAACACCAUAACGACUACAUCACGUUGUAGUGAUCAUGGUGUCACUAGUGGUCUCGCACCUCAGCAGACUGUGGUGGUUAUGGUGUUUGGAUAUGUAUUAGGUUAUUAAUACAGCAAGCAAGUGCAGUCCUAUAUUGUUAUACUAUAAUAGUUGGGGUACUACUGAUGCUCAAUACAAUCAUCAUUUUUACAAAGUUUAUCGCAAUUUUGAAUAGCUUUUCAUUUCAUUUUUAUUAACAAUUCCAAAACGGCAAGAAUCAAAAGUCCUUUAUCGCUACCCCUUUUUCUAGAAAGAGAUUAUAAUUAUUAUUUAAUUUUUUUUUUUUUCCUUUUCGGUGCUUCUGUUAAUUUGUAACAUUUUUAUAAUCACCUUCUUAAAAUUAAUGAUUUUGUUUUUGCUUUAUCUCAGAACACAUAUGCAAGAUAGCCAUGUUUGUGAGGCUUAUUUUAACAUAUGUACAGACAAACCUUUAAGAAGUGUAUAAUCACUGUGCAAGGUCUGUGUUUAUAGACACUGUUGUGCAAUGAUAUGACAAGAAUUGAGCAGAUCCAAUCAGCUUUGAUUUUUCUUCUUCCUUUUUUAAGUGGUUUUAUUUUCUCUUAAUUUAUUUAUUCCUGUUUUGUUUUUUUCUUUUGUAAAUAUAUUUAUUUUAUUGUGAAGCUAACAUCUGAAUUGUAGCAUGUACAGAAUGUAUGGUAGGAAUCUACUCUUUUUAGGAAUGUAGGUUCAUUUCAAAAGAGGGUGUGAGGUGAUGAAAAUGGCCGCCUUACCCUCGAAUAAAUGCACAAUUCACACAAUUUAUGUUUAGGAUCAGUGGGUGGUUUUCCAGCAUUCUGGAGAAAUUGCAUUACAUUUGUGAUUAUUUCCUUAUAAUUAAUUUGAAUAAAUAAAAAACAACAACUCUAAGUAAGUAAAUGUGUAUUUUUUUUAUCAAAGUAAAACCUCAAGGGGUAUCAUUAUUUUCGUAUUGGUCCUGUAAUUAUAUAGUUGCCUCGUAAUCAAGAGCUAUGAAACUCUAUUCUGCUAAUAUAUAACAGCACCCUUAACCUAACAUUUCACCCAAAGUUAGACAGGCUAAUGUAGAAGUCCAAUACCCCACUAGCUGAGUAGCACAGGGGCAAUGUUUUUUGCCUUAGGGCAACCCUGAUUUUCGUCAAACUGUUCCAAUCCAAUUUGACACAAUCCAUUCGAAAGUCUUGUAAACACCAUACCCACUAUAACUUAUUGUAGUUGUCAUGGUGCUUAGCAUGCUCUUUAACCCCUUAAGGACCAAACUUCUGGAAUAAAAGGGAAUCAUGACAUGUCCUUAAGGACACAUGACAUGUGUGACAUGUCAUGAUUCCCUUUUAUUCCAGAAGUUUGGUCCUUAAUAACAAUUUAUGAACAGACUUUCUUGAAGCCUUACCUACACCAUUUAAAGAGAUCCAUUUGAGACUGUCACUCCCCAUUCACUAAACUUAAUUGCAAAAGGUACACUUCUUUGCAAGCCAAUUUAGUGAAUGGGGAGUCACUGAUUGGCCAAAAGUGGUCAACUGAUGCUUUCAGCUAAUCAGCAGCACGGCAAUCCACGCUUCCUGUAAGUACAAAUUCAGAAGCCAAUGCCCCCUGGGGAGGAGCUGAGACCAGCACUGGAGGCAACAUUGGGUUUAAACCACUCAAAGACGGUUUAACCCCUUGUAGUAAGAGAACCUCUGGGGGCCUACUGGCACCAUAAAAGCUUCAUUUAGAUGAAGUUGUUUUGGUGCCUUGAGUGUACCUUUAAGUUUUCUGUGUCCAGUUCAUCAAAUAAUGCUACCACAUACAUAUGGUAAAACAGUAAUGAUUCAAAAGUAAUUACUUUAUUUCAUGUAAAUAUGUAUUAUUCAAUCUACAACCCUUGCCACCAGUAAAUACCAGUGUGUUACAGACAAACAUACAUAAAACCUCUACUUAGCACAUGCAUGAAUAUUACCACAUAUUCAGAAAGCACUUUAAUAUCUUUCAUUGCCAUUGUCAAUUAAAUGGCAUUUCCCCAUAAUUUUAUUUCUCUAACUUGGGAACAUCCGGUUCUAGUUCAGUACACAGAAUUCCCUGCAAGGCAACUGUAAGAAAUGUAGUCAAAUAUCAGCUGAAAUGGACGAACAAUAGACAGCUCUGAAGGCCAAUCCAUCAUAAAACUUCUUUAGAUCAUGAGUGAUGCUUCCAAUAUAUAUAUAUAUAUUUCUAAUUGUCCUACCAGGGUUGAGAAUUACAUUGAAGGACACUGUCAAAUAGAAUAGUUAUGGCUAAAUUUAACCCUAAUUCUUCCCCUAAUUAUUUGCAUUUGAAUUCUGGAACACCAAACCACAUAUCUCUACUUUGGAAUAUUUGCGAGAAAUGUGGGUAAAUUUUGUGAAUUGAGCAGUGCAUGAAAGUUGUUGUUUUCUUUUCCCUUUCUCUUUUUCUAAACAAAGGCUGUGUUUUCCUCCACCAGACCUUAGAGCUGUGCCUUUUCUAUGCAAUAUUACAGACACGUCUGAUAACAGAUUACUGUAUUCACAUGUAGGUAUGGGCUGUAAGCAAAACAAUUGUACAUGGAAACAAGCAGCCUCUUUUGUAGUUUUAUAUUCUACAAUAAACAUUUAAAAGAAA